rnacentral:rRNA from 1 species
AAUAUUUCAAAAUGGAGAGAACUCUGAUGCAGCAACGCCGCGUGAGGGAAGAAGGUUUUCGGAUCGUAACACUCUGUCAUUGGGGAAGAAUAAAUGACGGUACUCCAUGAGGAAGCCCCGGCUAACUACGUGCCAGCAGCCACGGUAAUACGUAGGGGGCGACCGUUGUCCGGAAUGACUGGGCGUAAAGGGUACGUAGGCGGCUAUAUAAGUCAGGUGUGAAAUACCAGUGCUUAACACUGGAAUUGCAUUUGAAACUGUGUAGCUUGAGUGCAGGAGAGGAAAGUGGAAUUCCUAGUGUAGCGGUGAAAUGCGUAGAGAUUAGGAGGGACACCAGUGGCGAAGGCGACUUUCUGGACUGUAACUGACGCUGAGGUACGAAAGCGUGGGUAGCGAAC